UACGGAGGGUGCGAGCGUUGUCCGGAAUCACUGGGCGUAAAGGGCGCGUAGGCGGCCUGAUAAGUAGGGGGUGAAAUCCUGCGGCUUAACCGCAGGGCUGCCUUCUAAACUGUCAGGCUCGAGCACAGUAGAGGCAGGUGGAAUUCCCGGUGUAGUGGUGGAAUGCGUAGAGAUCGGGAAGAACAUCAGUGGCGAAGGCGGCCUGCUGGGCUGUUCUUGACGCUGAGGCGCGAAAGCUAGGGGAGCAAACGGG
rnacentral:rRNA from 1 species